AGCCGCGCAGUGAGCACAGAGCGAACUAUUCUUUCGCCUUUUACUAAAGAAUACCGUGUGCUCGUUGCACAUAGCGGCAUACGCCAAUUUUUUGCUGAGGGUUCUCUAAUUUGGAGAACC